AGCGCACCCCUGAUAAGGGUGAGGUCGGCAGUUCGAAUCUGCCCAGACCCA
rfam:Pseudomonas syringae pv. pisi str. 1704B contig2720.1, whole genome shotgun sequence.